rnacentral:rRNA from 1 species
UGGGGAAUAUUGGACAAUGGGGGGAAACCUGAUCCAGCCAUGCCGCGUGUGUGAAGAAGGCCUUAUGGUUGUAAAGCACUUUAAGCGAGGAGGAGGGUACUGGUAUUAAUACUACCAGGUACUGGACGUUACUCGCAGAAUAAGCACCGGCUAACUCUGUGCCAGCAGCCGCGGUAAUACAGAGGGUGCGAGCGUUAAUCGGAUUUACUGGGCGUAAAGCGUGCGUAGGCGGCUAAUUGAGUCGGAUGUGAAAUCCCCGAGCUUAACUUGGGAAUUGCAUUCGAUACUGGUUAGCUAGGGUGUGGGAGAGGAUGGUAGAAUUCCAGGUGUAGCGGUGAAAUGCGUAGAGAUCUGGAGGAAUACCGAUGGCGAAGGCAGCCAUCUGGCCUAACACUGACGCUGAGGUACGAAAGCAUGGGGAGCAAACCGG